AGUGAACGCUGGCGGUAGGCCUAACACAUGCAAGUCGAACGGCAGCACAGUAAGAGCUUGCUCUUACGGGUGGCGAGUGGCGGACGGGUGAGGAAUACAUCGGAAUCUACUUUUUCGUGGGGGAUAACGUAGGGAAACUUACGCUAAUACCGCAUACGACCUACGGGUGAAAGCAGGGGAUCUUCGGACCUUGCGCGAUUGAAUGAGCCGAUGUCGGAUUAGCUAGUUGGCGGGGUAAAGGCCCACCAAGGCGACGAUCCGUAGCUGGUCUGAGAGGAUGAUCAGCCACGCUGGAACUGAGACACGGUCCAGACUCCUACGGGAGGCAGCAGUGGGGAAUAUUGGACAAUGGGCGCAAGCCUGAUCCAGCCAUGCCGCGUGGGUGAAGAAGGCCUUCGGGUUGUAAAGCCCUUUUGUUGGGAAAGAAAAGCAGCAGGUUAAUACCCCGCUGUUCUGACGGUACCCAAAGAAUAAGCACCGGCUAACUUCGUG
rnacentral:rRNA from 1 species